rnacentral:lncRNA from 1 species
UGGAGUAUUGUUUGCCCAUAAAAGGGAUUAAAAUACUGGUAGGUGCUUUAGCAUAGAUGAACCUCAAAAAACAUUAAGGGAAAUGAAAGAAGCUAUUCACAAAGAAAGUUGCCAUAUCGUAGGAUUCUAUUUAUACAAAAUAUCCAGAAUUGGUAAAUAUAUUAAAUCUAUAUAGACAAAAAACAGAUUAACAGUUACUAGGGACUAGGAUGGAGAUAGGGUGGUAUGUAGUGACUGCUUAAAUGAGCGAAGAGUUUUGUUUUUGAGAAAUAAACUGUUGGGGAACUAGACAAAGGUGAUGGUUGCACAACCUUCUAAAUAUAGUAAAUGCCACAGAACUGUUCACUUCAAAAUGAUUAAAAUAGUAAAUUUAAAUUUUAUGUGCAUUUUAUCUCCUUUAGAAAAAAAAAGAAAAAUGACUCUCUUGAUGUCAGGAGAUCAGAUUAUUCUUGGAGCAUAGGAUCAGCUUUUCCCAUAUUUCUGGAAGCAGAAUGCAGGGAAAAUUGCAGAGUUAAAAAGUAAGUAAAGUGGGUCUGAAUGUUAAUUCUACUCACUACUAGCCAUGUGAGCUUAGAUAAAGGUUUUCAGUGGUGGAGUAUCCUGUUCUGUAGAAUGGAGAUGCCUGCAUCCCAGGACUGUUUGGAGGCACAAUAGGAGGAACACAUGAAAGCUCCUAGCACACAGCAGGACCUUUAAUGACUAUGGACAGAUGGCCAUCCUGACCUUGGUGGUUUCCUCCUACUCAGCAGUGUUCCUGGCUUUUCCUCAAGUCCAGAAGUAGCCUCAUCAAAAGCUCACACUCUGCAGGAUGUAUCCAAAACCUGCUGCAGUUUUUGUGGUCAGGCUUCUCUAGGUAAAGGACUCAUAUAAUGAGAUACACUGUCCUUCACUGAUGAACAGCAGAAGAGCCAACUCUUCACUGAAGGACCAGCAGUGCAACAAGAAUACAUACCAUUCAGGUGAUAUUUUCAGAUGGUGCAAGUGACCACCUAUGACAACAGCCUCUACUUAACUCUGAAGAUUGAUUUCACAAUCCUGGUCUUAAAAGAGGCCAAAGCAAGGUGCUAAACAAGAGGCUGAAACAACAGAUCACACAUUUUGUUGCCUUCCAAAACCUUCACCCCUCAGACAUACUUGGCUAAGUUUACGGUCUUAACAAAGGUCUACACAGAUACACAGUUAAACUUAGUGGAUCCCCUUUAAGCCAAUCCAUAAAACCCAUGGAUUAAGACCCCAAACUUCCUGUAGCUUUGCCAACCUUCUUGGUCUCCCAGGAAUGCCUGUAAAAUGCAGAAUCUUUGCAGACCAGUGAGCAGUAAAAGCUUCCCCGACAAUACCAUCCAUUUGCAGAUUCCAGCUUCUGCCGGCUGCUUUAAAAGGCAUCACAGUUGCUGAAAGAUAUCUGCCUUGUUUUUUAAAACUUUUCUAAUAGGUCACAGAGGUCAGCCCCCAGCUCUAGUACAAAGUUCCCAUCAAAUUUAGAUGAUAAAGAAUUUCCUUGCCACUAUCAAUUUGCCAGCCUUAACAGGAAUAAGCAAUAUUGCUAUUAAAUUGAAGAGGUAGUUAAGAAAUAAUCAACAGAUCCAUUUAUUUUAUUAUCUUUUUUCAACUGAUCCAUUUAGAGUAGUGGUUCCCAAUUUGGGGCCAUAUGCACCACCAGAGGACCAUGGGUAAUGUCUGAAAACAUCUUUGGUUGCUGAAACCACGUACUGGGGUUGCUACUGGCAUCCAGUGGGCAGAGGCCAGGGAUGUACAUCCUACCAUGCACAGGAUAGCCUCCCCCACAAAUAAUGUGAGUCUCAAAUGUCAACUAUGCCAAGGUUGAGAAAUCCGAAAUUUUUGGAACAACCCAAUAAUUCAAACAUUUAUCUCACUGCCCCUCAAAUGAAAAACCACGAUGCAAAUUAGUUUUUAAAUAUCUGUUCAUUCAUUUAUUGAUUUAUUCAUAAAUUUGUGUCUGUGCUGAACCUAACUAGAAUUUCUUCGCAGGCUGUUCUAAGGCCACUGAGUUGGUUCUUUCAUCCAGCAGUUUGCUAGGAGAAGAGAAAACCCUGUGUUAUCCCAAGGAUAACUGACAGUGCCAUCAAAAGCAGAAUUCCAGCAACAUAGUUUGGAUUUUUUUAAAGAUAAAUCAGAUUUAUGCAAUAAAAUAUCAGGCUUUUUAUUUUAUUUGGGUCAUUCAAUUUCAGGAGGACACGUAUCAGCACAUCACCUGAACAAAAGAAAAUUAAAAGUGAAAUGUUUAUUCAGGGAAUGAAGUUGGUCCCUACGUAUGGGCUGCAUCCUCAGAGGGGAGAGGUCCCACCAUAAUGGGGCCAGAAUCCCUUCCAGACCCAUAAAGGAGAAACAGAAUGGUGCUGCUCAAGCGUGGCGUGUAUCAGUCACCUGGAGAGCCUGUUACAAUGCAGAUCCCUGGGCCAUCCCGAGAUGCACAGAUAAUGAGCUCACAUGGAAGCGGAAGCCUCUAUGGGGUGAAGUCUCACACAGUAAUGCAGACAUCAAGUGAAGAGAUGUGUGGAUCAGGAGCACAGAGUCCCCUAGCAGCUUCCUGUACGUCUGUACUCUGGGCUCAGCUGCUUCUUCCCAAUACUCUAAUUGGGUUUUGUGGCACACCGUGUGGAAUGAAAUGUAAAUUCAGGGGCAGAGUUGAGACAAAAACCACAAAGCAUAAAUGGGGGAAGAAUGGAGCCCUGUGGAGCAAGUAUGUUGGUGUGGACAUGGGUUUAGAGUGUGAUGGUUCCUGUUUCACCCUUUCCAUAAAGAAUGUCCUCAGGCAGAGACGGCCUGAUUAUUAGGAUUGCCAUCCACACCUUUGUAAACCUGGGUACUGCGUGGGGCAUCUACAUGGUGCAGUCAGGUAAGCAACCAACUCUUGAUUUGGGCUCAGGUCCUGAUCUCAGGGUGGUGAGAUCGAGCCCCACAUUGGGCUCUGCACUCAGCAGAGAGUCUGAGAUUUCUGUCUCUCCUUCUCCCUCUGCUCCUCCCCAUUGUGAGUUCUCUCUCUCAAUAAAUCUUAAAAAACAAAAAAACAAAAAAACUGGGCAGUGGGUGCUGCCUAUGCAUCUGUGAAGCAUUAUGCUAAAGAGAUUGACAUUAGUCUGUAUUUAUGCAGAAAUUAUCUGUCAACAACCAACCAAAAAGAAUCAAUGCACAUGCUUAUCACAUUUGGAGCAGAAGGCUGUGAAACCAAGCGGGGGUCCUGGAAGUAUCUGCACAGUCACACUGUGGGGGUGCUGCUUUCUCCAUUACGGGGAUCCAGGAAGGUCCAUCCUGCAUAUCCAGACCAGGUUGAAGGAACAGACAAUCCCGCAAUCACUCACACAAGCCCAACCACGAUGAGAUCCCAUGAGUGGUACUGGCAUAAACUUUUGUUCCUUUCCUGGUGGUGGUCUACCUUCCCUUCUGCUGAUCACAGGCUGAGGAAGAUGGCAGGGCUGGGAAACUAUUUGUGAAAACAGGAAAGAUGUGCUGCUAGUACCUAUUUUCCAAGAAAACAACAAAACAAGCAGCAUAAUCAAUCUUUUGUAUAUAACAUUUCAGAAAUCCUCAAAUGGAUAUAGUUCUGAAUAUGGAACACCAAAGAAACAGUAAGUACCUAAAACAGCCCAAUGUCAUAUUGGGGAGAGAUAAAAUCAGAGAUCAGGGUUUUUUUUCUUUUUUAUCAUAUAUAUAGAUAUAUAUCUAUAUAUAUAUAUAUCAUUAUCUGCAUAAUUCCCCCUAAAAGUUUUCAUGUACUGAUAAAGAAAACAUACACAAAAAAGAAGAGAGUUCUAGUUUAAGGGUCUGUUACACCUGUCUUUAGGGUUGGUACGAAGCCUCUAUAUGGCUCCACAAGCAUGGUGCCAGCAGCUGUAAAUACCAGAUUACAAAUUAUCUGUAAGAUUCUACUAUGUGACAUGUAUGAGUCUGCCCAGGCUGCCAUGACAAAGUACCACAGACUGGGUGGCAUAAACAACAGAAAUUAUUUUUCUCACAGUUCUGGAGGCUGGAAAGCCAAGUUCAGGAUCUCCACAGGGUUGUUUUCACCUGAGGCACCUUUCCUUGGCUUGCAGGCAGUUACCUGCUCACUGUAUGCUUAACUGGUUUUUUCUCUGGCCAUGUGCAUCGCUAAUGUCUCUUCUUCUUAGAAAGAUAACAGUCCUGGAGUAGGGCUUCACCCUCAA